rnacentral:rRNA from 1 species
UACGGCUCCAGUAACACGUAGUCAACCUGCCCUAGAGACGUGGACAACCCCGGGAAACUGGGAUUAAUUCCAUGAUUAGGCCACCUCAUCUGGAAGGAGAGAUGACUUAAAGGGGUGCGCGAGCUUCUUUCGUGCAUCUGCUCUAGGAUGGGACUGCGGCCGAUCAGGCUGUUGGUGGGGUAAUGGCCCACCAAACCUGUAACCGGUACGGGCCUUGAGAGAGGGGGCCCGGAGAUGGACACUGAGAGAAGGGUCCAGGUCCUACGGGGCGCAGCAGGCGCGAAACCUUCGCAAUGCGCGAAAGCGUGACGAGGUUAAUCCGAGUGGUCCCCGCUGAGGGGAUCUUUUGUUGGCUCUAAAACGGCCAGUGAAUAAGGGGAGGGCAAGUCUGGUGUCAGCCGCCGCGGUAAUACCAGCUCCUCGAGUGGUCGGGGCGAUUAUUGGGCCUAAAGCAUCCGUAGCCGGUUCCGUAGGUCCUCUGUUAAAUCCAACUGCUUAACAGUUGACCUGCAGAGGAUACCGCGGGACUAGGAGGCGGGAGAGGCGGACGGUACUCCGCGUGUAGGGGUAAAAUCCUUUGAUCCGCGGAAGACCACCAGUGGCGAAGGCGGUCCGCCAGAACGCGCUCGACGGUGAGGGAUGAAAGCUGGGGGAGCGAACCGGAUUAGAUACCCCGGGUAGUCCCAGCCGUAAACGAUGCUAGCUAGAUGAUUCAUUCGCAAGUCGCGAAUGAAGUGUCGCAGGGAAGCCGUUAAGCUAGCCGCCUGGGGAGUACGGUCGCAAGACUGAAACUUAAAGGAAUUGGCGGGGGAG